rnacentral:miRNA from 1 species
GAGGUGAGAGGAUUGCUUGAGCCCAGGAGUUGGAGGCUGCAGUAAGCUCUGAUCGCACCACUGCACUCCAGCCUGAGUGACAGAGCAACACCCUGUCU